UAUAAAGAGGGAAAAUGAGUUAUACGAAGCUUUAUAUAAACAUACAGAGCCGGUGGGAUGAAAGCAGCCAAUAAGCAGUCCGCGGACAACACUGGCAGCAAAUCGGAUUCUCCCGGAAAAUAUAAACUCAUAUAUGACUGUUGUUCUUGCUUAUCUGGUUGCUGGUUGGCCUGCUUCAGUUUAUGGUGCUUCUAGAUUCAUCUUGUAUCAGGCUUUUAGACACACUUAAUUCUGUCUCUUCAUGUAUAACUCAGUUUUGUUUGCUAUUGCGUUUUGUUACUUUUUAUCUCGUGAAUUUUAAUAGCCAUCUCCGAUCUAGUGGAUCAAAUAUCAAAUUUCCAUUAUUUUGUUAGUGACAUUUUGUUAUAUUUGA